GCUGCAGCUUGUUGGCUGAAGAAAGCAAAUGAGAUUUGGGAUGAGAAGAAGCGAACCCUACAGCAACAGCUUGUGGUGGAGGGGAACAGAGAACUGUCGAGCACACUGAGCAUCAACAACAGAUGGAUUUUUGUGCAAAACAUGGUGCUGCAGUUAGAUGGGAAGGAAAAUGAUGGCUUUCUGUCUCAGCCUCAGAGCAGUCAGCAGGAAUAGAUGUGUUCUCCAUGCUUUGAACUGAAAGGACUUUUGUCCAUGCAAAAAAUUCUGUCUUCAACCUCCAAGGAGCUGAGAUUUUGGCAGCCUUCAGCCCCUAACACUUACUCACCACUGCCAGUUUUGCUUACCUGAGUUUGAUG